GGCUCGGUGGCUGAGUGGUAAAGCGCUUGGUUUCCGAACCAGGGAUUCUGGGUUCAAAUCCUGGCAAAGACC
rnacentral:tRNA from 1 species